rnacentral:rRNA from 1 species
AACGAACGCUGGCGGCAGGCCUAACACAUGCAAGUCGAACGCCCCGCAAGGGGGGUGGCGCACGGGUGAGUAACGCGGGGGAAUAUGCCCUUCGGUUCGGAAUAACGCAGGGAAACUUGUGCUAAUACCGGAUACGAUCUACGGAUGAAAGAUUUAUCGCCGAGGGAGUAGCCCGCGUAGGAUUCACUAGUGGGUGAGGUAAUUGCUCACCAAGGCGACGAUCCUUAGCUGGUCUGAGAGGAUGAUCAGCCACACUGGGACUGAGACACGGCCCAGACUCCUACGGGAGGCAGCAGUGGGGAAUAUUGGACAAUGGGCGAAAGCCUGAUCCAGCCAUGCCGCGUGAGUGAUGAAGGCCUUAGGGUUGUAAAGCUCUUUCGCCAGGGAAGAUAAUGACGGUACCUGGAAAAGAAGCCUCGGCUAACUCCGUGCCAGCCGCCGCGGUAA